rnacentral:lncRNA from 1 species
GUUUUGUCCAUGAUAUAUCUUUCGUUCUUUUUUUGGAUCGUAUGUGCUUUUGGAAUUUCCGUUACCUUCUGAUUUCAUCAGCUCUUCUGUCCAGCCUGGUCAUCAGGUAAUGUACUGUUUGUAUGGGAAUCAAUCUCUCUCAUUGUAAUCAUUGUAAUCUAUUUCUCCCCAUAGGAAGUACAGAUGGCAGUAUCAUACCCCUAUAUACGCCAUUGCAGAGAGGUCAGUGUGUUCAUACAGUACUUUGAAAUAUCUGAACAGACUGAUUUAGCUGUUUCUGCACUAUUUUUUCUAACUCAUUUAUAUCGGGUCUUUCUGAGACAGGUGCUACAGAUGUCUAUGAAACAAUUAAAUCAUCCAAGGACUCUCAAGAAGAUGAUGAGGAAGGAUAUGAUGAUGUGGCUCCCUCCGACACUAGAGCAGAGGAACAUGUGUAACUGAGGAAAAGAAAGUGAGAGAUGAUAUGUUAUAACUGUACAGCUCCAUGUACCUGUUACCAAGUCUUAGGACUCCCCCAACAUCCAAGAGAGUCACGGCUGUUUUUGCUUCUAAUUUUCAGUCAGAUUAGUCAUAUGCCUUUGAGCAUCUGUUUGAAAUCUAUAUAUUUGUUUUCUUAAUAUGUUUUCUAAAGCAAUGCAAUUUUCUCAAAUGAGACCAUGUGUGUGGUUUAUACAUUUAUACAUAUGUUUUGGAAGGACAGAGUAAGGGCAAAGACCUAAUCCAUCCAUGAUUUUAAUAGUUUUUUAAGGAUUAUGCAGCUGAGACUGAGCUCGAGUCCCAUGAGACAACAUAGCUGGA